CAUUUGCUGCCUUGUCAAGCAGCCCCUUGCAAAGACUGUUGCACGCGGGCUCAACAAGGUUGCAGAAAGCAACCCAAAGAAUGAAAAGGCGUGACUUCUAGAGGCUCAGGAGUUUCACGUGCGAUGUUCCUUGGACACGGACACGCUCCUGCUUUUCCACGGCGGUGGUGGUCUCGUUCUGUAGCCAUCACCUUUCUUGAGGCAGGUAGAGUAAAAAACUGACAGCAGGAUAUUAUUUGAAACAGGGGAAGGUCUUCCUGUCAAAUACUAACAGCUGUCACAGUA
rnacentral:snoRNA from 1 species